UACCAAAGUGUUGAGUAUGGGUCUACGGUACUUCGUAGAUUCAAUAAUUUAACUUUGGAAAAACAAUUGCCCGUGCUGUGUUUUGAUUGUGGAGCUUUUCCACUAUUCAUAGUCGGCACUAGCAAACAUAA